UAGUGAUUGACUUUCCAUAACAAAGAAUAUGUCACUUCUCCACUUCUAGAGGCCAUCAAUUUUCCUUUUCUAAAGUUCAGAAUUUGAUAUAUUUCUUUAAUUGCAUAUUUUGAGUUGCUUGGUAAAGUUGAAGGGUAACCAAAAACUGGUAUCUUUAAGUUUCUUAUUUGACUGGCAAAAGGUUCCUAAUCUAAUUCAGAAGGACUCAGCACAAUUUACAGCUCACCUUUUUGUUUUCUUCUGAGUGCACCUUUUAUCUAACAAUUCACAAGUAUAUGAAAACAUGGAGAAUCCUUAUUUUAAAGUUUGAUUCCAAUUUGGUACUUUGUGAAUUUACUAGGGUAUCAUUUAGAGUUGACUGGGUAAUGUCCUUGUGUUUAAGCAUCUCUUUUGUACAAUCAGGAAGUACUUGCUGUUCUGAAAUAGGAUUACAAAUGCCAUUGCAAAAACAAAGAAAAAUUUUAUGCUUGUAAUUGGAUUGUAUUAAGUUAGCCCAGUAUUCAUUACUUAUACUUUGACAAAUCAUGGUAAUUUCUUUUGACCGAUGGAAAAAUAUUAUAAACUCACAAGAUUAUCUUUUCAAGCAAAAUUGAUUUUAUAUCAUUGAAUCGUAAAGUCAUUAUUACAUAUGAAGUUAUUUGGAUCUAUGCUGAUGGCAAACUUUAUCAGUUAUUUGGUGAAGGAAUGUGAGAUUACUUGCAAUUCUUUCAGGUGCAUGUUUGGUGUGUUUGGGAUGUACCAUUGGCACAAAGGACAAAUGGCUUGCAUGUUUGGUGUGUUUGGGAUGUACCAUUGGCACAAAGGACAAAUGGCU
rnacentral:misc_RNA from 1 species